GACGUUACCUACAGAAGAAGCACCGGCUAACUCCGUGCCAGCAGCCGCGGUAAUACGGAGGGUGCGAGCGUUAAUCGGAAUUACUGGGCGUAAAGCGCAUGCAGGCGGCCUGUUAAGUCAGAUGUGAAAGCCCGGGGCGUUAACCUCGGAAUUGCAUUUGAAACUGGCAGGCUAGAGUCUUGUAGAGGGGGGUAGGAAUUUCAGGUGUAGCGGUGAAAUGCGUAGAGAUCUGAAGGAAUACCAGUGGCGAAGGCGGCCCCCUGGACAAAGACUGACGCUCAGAUGCGAAAGCGUGGGGAGCAAACAGGAUUAGAUACCCUGGUAG
rnacentral:rRNA from 1 species